rnacentral:piRNA from 1 species
UGUGAUGAACACUGCCAUACAAGCAUACCU